UACGGAGGGAGCUAGCGUUGUUCGGAAUUACUGGGCGUAAAGCGCGCGUAGGCGGCUUUGCAAGUUAGAGGUGAAAGCCCGGGGCUCAACCCCGGAACUGCCUUUAAAACUGCAUCGCUUGAAUCCGGGAGAGGUGAGUGGAAUUCCGAGUGUAGAGGUGAAAUUCGUAGAUAUUCGGAAGAACACCAGUGGCGAAGGCGGCUCACUGGACCGGUAUUGACGCUGAGGUGCGAAAGCGUGGGGAGCAAACAGG
rnacentral:rRNA from 1 species